rnacentral:rRNA from 1 species
AUUGAACGCUGGCGGCAGGCCUAACACAUGCAAGUCGAACGAGUGGCGGACGGGUGAGUAAUGUCUGGGAAACUGCCCGAUGGAGGGGGGUAACUACUGGAAACGGUAGCUAAUACCGCAUACCAUCGGAUGUGCCCAGAUGGGAUUAGCUAGUAGGUGGGGUAACGGCUCACCUAGGCGACGAUCCCUAGCUGGUCUUAGAGGAUGCCCAGCCACACGGGAACGUAGACACGGUCCAGACUCCUACGGGAGGCAGCAGUGGGGAAUAUUGAACAAGGGGCGCAAGCCUGAUGCAGCCAUGCCGCGUGUAUGAAGAAGGCCUUCGGGUUGUAAAGUACUUUCAGCGAGGAGGCGUUACUCGCAGAAGAAGCACCGGCUAACUCCGUGCCAGCAGCCGCGGUAAUAC